rnacentral:tRNA from 1 species
GGGCAAUUAGCUCAGAGGUAGAGCGCUCGGUUUGCAUCCGAGCGGUCGCGGGUUCGAUUCCCUCAUUGUCCA